rnacentral:ncRNA from 2 species
AGUUUUCUUCGGGGCAGGGUGCAAUUCCCUACCGGCGGUUACAGUCCGCGACUCCUUUUUUUUUAACGAAAAGGACUGAUUUGGUGGAAUUCCAAAACCGACAGUUAUAGUCUGGAUGGGAGAAGAAAAUG